CUUAAACCUCGCUCGAGCGACAGUGCAAGGUUUUGAACUAUAACUUCAUUUCUCGCGUUUCCAAUUUGCAAAUUCUCCAAGUUCUUCACAAAUUUCACACAAUCCUCUGAAAUUUCUUCUGCUCAUAUUGUUAAUUGGGUGUUCCGACGUUCUAACACAUCAUUUCAACAUCAAUAUUCCAAUUUUUUAACUUCAAUUGAGGUAAAAUUUCCAUGUUUUUUUAUGUUUUUUUCGUUUUUUUUCUUUUACUCAUCUCUUCCCAUUUUGUUUGAUUCAUUGCUUCUAUUACAUGAGUUCAUAGCCUCUAGCAUGUUUAGCAUCGUUGGAUUGAAGUUUCUUGCACAUUGAAUUCAUGUAUUACAUAGCAUUGUGUGAUUUUUAUUUGAUUUGUGCUUGUAUUUUACCUAUGUUUUGUGUGAUUUUCAUCCAUGUUCAUCGCGUUGGUUCUUGCAUUCCGUAAAUCCGAUUUGCAUGCCGUUUGUUUCAUAUUGUUCGGGAUGUUACCUAGUUUGUGGUUGUGUGAUUGGGUACGGGGUUACGUCUCUUGCGUGCCUGGAAAGUUGUGCCAAAGAACCGCACGCCACAUGCUCGAUGAAAUGCCUUAGUCUAUUUAGGUUUGAUUUUUUACAUGUUUUGUUGUUUCCCUUUUUGCAUGGUUCUUCUUCAUGGUGUUUGUGCAUGGUUUCUUGGUCGGGUGUCGAGACAGGCUAUUUAUGCUCGUAGGGUCGUUUCGCGUUUUUCGUUACAUCUUUGUUUGAGG
rnacentral:lncRNA from 1 species